GCAUAAAAAACUCGCAAAAUAUAAAUGCCUAUAAAUAACUCAAAAAUAGCUCAAAUGUUUUGAAAUUGUUACCACGACUAUAACAAGCAAAUAGAAGUUUUCUGUCGAAAUUUCAAGUCUCCACGAAAAUAUUUUUAACUGAAUUACAAUGAAAUAAAACGAGAUUUAACAUAAUUAUAAAAGAUUUAUUUUCUUUAAUUGUCUAGUUCUUUUUACAUAUUUUUGAUUUAGCUCAAUUAUAAAAGAAAAUUGAUAAACUCUUCUGGUCACUUACUGGAUUAAAAAUUCAACAAAAGAUCUCACAAUUUUUUCUCUUAAAAAAACAUGAGUAUACAAAUUUUGCUAAAAAUGGAGCUGUCUGGUUAUUACACAGAUCUCUUCAAUUUAUAUAUUGGUCUAUUUUUUAACAUUAUUUCUAGAUUUGAAUAUUAGUAUAAUAAAAAAUUAUUUACAAAUGUUUGGAAAGGUACCAGUAAAAAAUUACAAACUAAAGAAGUAGUGACUUAGUCAGAGUAAAAUUAUAUGACAUUAAAAUAAGAGCAGAAUGCUAUUUGGUCCUGUACUAGACAGUACAAAGAUAGAAUUAAGCAUA